GAAAUUAACAUAUUUAAUACGAAACCAGCAAAGUAUAUAGGUCAUGUGCAAUGCAAAUUCUGUUUAUGUAUUGUGAUAAUUGAUUUAUCACAUAAUUAUUGAAAUUUCUGACAGACCAGUCAAAAAUCACAUAACCUCAAUUCAGUGAUAUGAUAUGAAUAUUAUAGAGAAAGAGUGCUCAUAACCCCUAUGG